GGAGCAGUAGCAGCGGCGGCUUCUCCCGGCGAUCAAGGCGUCACCUUUCCCCGUUCGUCGACCUCCUCUGUUUGUCCAGCGUCGAGCAGCAAGAGCAGGGCAGCAAACAGCGGCAUUUCCGUUGGCGAGUCAGAGCAGCGGCCGUCAGCGAUGGGAGAUCUUGGCGGUGAUGCUCCCGGCGUGGGUUGCAGCGACGGUAGCUGGUUCACCAGGAAAUUCUCCCCUCCCCUCGUCUUUGUCCUUGAGUGCGUAGUGCGUGGCAGUGGUGGCUGGGCGGUGUGGAGUAGCGGGCGGCUUCGACAGUGCACCCCUCUCCGUUACGACGUGAAGGUGGCAGUAGCAGCGUGGGAUGGACUCCUCUGUUCACAGUAGCAGUUCCCUUUAUGGUGGCCGGAAGUUCGGUUGAAGGAUAGUGGUUCGGUGGUCGCACGUUAUAACAGUAAGAGACGAAGUGGCGUAGUGGUAUGGUGUCCAUGUGUUGGGUUGGAGGGUAUAGGUUGGAAAUCCUGAGUUAAGCAUCACAAUUAAGGUUCAUGAUUAUGGACCUAGCUUAUGAGAUGAGCUUAGUGAUUAUGGACCUAGCUUAUGAGAUGAGCUUAGGAUUGGUGUUGCCUUGGGUUAAUACGCUACAAGAGGUAUGGAGUAAGUCUAAGCGGGAGCGCGUUAGAGCUUUAUCGUUAUGAGGGUUAUGUUUGUUUAGACUUGGUUUUUGGGCAUGUGUGCCUAUGUUGGGAUUAUGUACCUUUGACUAGUAUUCCUGUUACGUUUAUGGUUUAUUCAGUUUCAGUUUUUGGAUAGCCUGUGCA